GUAAAAUUGUAGCGUAAGUGUGAAAGGAAAAAAUUCGAAGGAGAAGUAUGAAAGGUGUCACCAUGGAAGAAUGGAAAAGAUAUGAAAAAUUGCGAAGGACGUUCUGCAGAGAAAAUCAAGGUAACAGAAGAAACAUUCUAAAAAUGUUCCUAGGAAUGUUCGAAGCGUUGGUGAAAGUGUGAGUGUUCUGAGAUUUUUUUCGUUUUUGCUCUAGUCACGAGGGAAGCAAUUGUGUUUAUGAAAAUAAGAAUGUACGGAUAAAAGUAUAUCCACACCAAACCAAAAGGAUGUUUCAGAGCAGUCUCUCAGAAAUGUGCAUUUAGGUACGAAACCUCAUAACAGGCAAUAAUCAUACUGGAAAGCUACACACCCACAAAGACAGAAAACAAAUCACAAACGGUGAGUAUUUAUUAGACAAAGAAAAUUAUAUGUAACAGAAUUGUUUAAAGUGGAAACUUUUAAAGCAGAUGUUUGAAGUUUCUGUCUGCAGAUGCAAUACACACCUCUCAAAGACGACGGAUGGAUCGAUGAACUCUUUUGCAAAAAUUGUCGGUUGUAUCAACAACAACACUAUUUGCAAUUUGAGCCACUAGAUCUAUGAUCGAUUCGUCAAGGGUUUAAUACACUAGGCUUUUCAUACAUCCCCACGAAAGAUGCUUCAUCUUGAAAUAGCUUGAUAGGUGUAGUCCUAUGCUCUCCGCUGUAUAACCCGCGUCACAUUCUGGUUUGGCAAAGAAUGCAAAGGAAUAAUAGUAGGAGUGCUGCUGAAAUUAAAAAGACCCUAUGUUGCUGCUAUAUUAAAGCAGAAAACAAUACCACGGGGUGGAGGGGUAAGAAAAUGAAGUAAAAUAUCUAACUGCAAAAAGCCAUGAAAUCUUCACAGAGGCUGGACUGAAGAUGACUGAGGAUUCAUGCAAAGCUAUACUAAUUAGACUCUUCGUUACAAAGGAAAGUGGUUUGCUUUGGUUUGAAGAGUUCAUUUAGGAAACUCACAUGAGUAAACAUAAGUGAUUCAAGUAAGAUUAAGACGAAAAAGAAAGAAGCAAUUUAUCUUAUCAAUGAUCCAGUCCGGGAAGUAAAAAUAUCCCUUAGUAGCAAUUCUAUUUAACAGCAAAGAAGACGAACAAUCGAUGAGUCUCAUACUCGAACAUUCAGUGAAGAGAAAAGGAAGGUCUACAAAAACGAUGAUUUGUGGAAUAACUCAUCAAAACCUCGAUAUUUCGUGUAUUUUAAGAGCAGCAAAUAGCAAAGAGUGCGUGGGAACAAAGAGUCAAGGACUGCCAUAUCGAUGUGCCAAGAUCUCUCAAAAUAUUCUCGAAAAGCAUUUCAAUUGGAUACAAAUGCGAAGUUCUUCCGUUAAUUGUGCAGUCUCUGGAAUUAUAUAAAUCUUCGCAGAAUUGUAAGCCGGGAAAUAAGCGGACAUUUCGGAAAAUAAGCUGUUUACUUGAAGGAAAGAUUUGAAAGUUUCACAUAAUUAGCUGGUUUGAAGGAAUAUCAUAAAAAUGGGGGGAGAAAAUGUGUCUUCCCCAUGAAGCAAAGAUACGAGAUCCAUAUAAAAUUACAAUUAGUCUUCCGGAGAAGAAGUAAAAGAAAGUUUAUUUCAAAAAACUCAUAGAUCGCUCGCUUCCUGUAUUCGCCACCUUUUUAUUGCCAAGUCAGAAG